AGGACGAACGCUGGCGGCGUGCUUAACACAUGCAAGUCGAGCGGAAAGGCCCUUCGGGGUACUCGAGCGGCGAACGGGUGAGUAACACGUGAGUAACCUGCCCCUAGCUCUGGGAUAGCUCCGGGAAACCGGGAUUAAUACCAGAUACGACCACUUUAGACAUCUGUCGUGGUGGAAAGGAUUCCGGCUAGGGAUGGGCUCGCGGCCUAUCAGCUUGUUGGUGGGUAACGCCUACCAAGGCGACGACGGGUAGCCGG
rnacentral:rRNA from 1 species